rnacentral:rRNA from 1 species
UACGGAGGGUGCAAACGUUGCUCGGAAUCAUUGGGCGUAAAGCGCAUGUAGGCGGCUUGUUAAGUCGGAUGUGAAAGCCCAAGGCUCAACCUUGGAAGUGCAUUCGAAACUGGCGAGCUUGAAUAUGGACGAGGGUCGCGGAAUUCCCGGUGUAGAGGUGAAAUUCGUAGAUAUCGGGAGGAACACCAGUGGCGAAGGCGGCGACCUGGGCCAAUAUUGACGCUAAGAUGCGAAAGCGUGGGGAGCAAACAGG